rnacentral:tRNA from 1 species
UUUAGUGGUAAAACUAGCCUUCC